AUUCAGGCUGCCUUCCUACGAGACCAGUCAAGGAAUAAAGAAACCCCCAGGGGCCUGGAUGUCGCGGUGCAACACACAACAACUGUAUCUGAAAACUGAGUCGUUCCUUAGGUUACGACGACUAUGCAGCGACGACAUCGCUACAUGUACAGUACAUGAAAGAACAUACUUCAAAUCCUGGUGCCAGGAGUUCAGACUGAACAAACCAAAACUGAAUACCUAACUCCAUAUUUCGGCUCCAUUCAAGAAAUGGCUGGAAGAGAUCCUUGGCUCAAUUAACUACUAACUACCAAAUGGGCUAGAAUGGACUAAACGGUGACUAAAAAGGGGACCCUGCAGGCAUUCACUGGACACACACAAGGAGAAAGAGGCAGAGCGAAGACUUUCCCCUGCUUUUAUAUGGGAGGAAGAAGAAAGAGUAGAAGCAGAGGUCAUGAGACAGUUCAACACCGGUGGGGGGGUCGCAGAAUGCAACAGUAUAAUAUACUUUUCUGCAGGAUACAACCUCCAAUUAAAUAAAAAGUCAAUGUUCAAUGGACUGCAGAUCUUUGAUGCAGCUGGUUUUCAAGACUGUGGUAAGAUUUGAUUUAUAAUACAUGUACUGGAGAUCAUUCAUUAAAUCCCCAGCCAGGGGAAGGCAUCGUACAAAAGGAAGGCUGCUUGUUUUCUUAGAACAGCAUACUUUACACAAUAUAUUUUUGUUAUUUACAUAGAAACAUUUGAUGUAGGUUAGAAUUAAUAUUUUGUUUCUUUGAACAUGAAAGGGCUUUACGAAUGUUUUUAAUUGCAGAUAUUGAUUUAAACUCCUCAGUAUAUUAAGGUGGGUCUAGUAGACAUUACUGAAUUAAAUACAAGUGAUUUCAGCAUUAAGAUUAAGAAGAAGGCAUAUGCAGUAGAUUCUUUGGGGUGCAUAUAAUUCUAGCAAAUGCUCUAUAAAAAUCAGCAAGAUAUAUUUCAGAAAAAUAUUUUGAACUUUUAAAAUAAAACAGUAGUUUUCUCUCUUAUUCUGCAAGAAAUUAAGUAAAAAGGACUAAGCCUGUAAACAUAGCACAGGCCAUGCGUUUAUUGUAGAAGCUACUGGAAAAAUUAGUCAGUUUAAUAAUAUAGAGUUAUCAAUUACAGUAGGUCCCUAUUUGUGAUUUUUCAAAGCUUAUUCCUCUUCAAACUAACUUUUAAUGAUUGUUCCCUCCUCUAAAGAGGGGGAGCUUUUUGGUAUACCAACGUCUACAAUAAAAGU